ACCUGGCUGGCUCAGUCAGUGGAGCGUGCAACUUUUGACUCAAAGUUGUGAGUUCAAACCUCACACUGGGUG
rnacentral:tRNA from 1 species